rnacentral:rRNA from 1 species
AUUGAACGCUGGCGGCAUGCCUUACACAUGCAAGUCGAACGGCAGCACGGGAGCUUGCUCCUGGUGGCGAGUGGCGAACGGGUGAGUAAUGCAUCGGAACGUACCCGGAAGUGGGGGAUAACGUAGCGAAAGUUACGCUAAUACCGCAUAUUCUGUGAGCAGGAAAGAGGGGGAUCGCAAGACCUCUCGCUUUCGGAGCGGCCGAUGUCGGAUUAGCUAGUGGGUGGGGUAAAGGCCUACCAAGGCGACGAUCCGUAGCGGGUCUGAGAGGAUGAUCCGCCACACUGGAACUGAGGCACGGUCCAGACUCCUACGGGAGGCAGCAGUGGGGAAUUUUGGACAAUGGGCGAAAACCUGAUCCAGCCAUGCCGCGUGAGUGAAGAAGGCCUUCGGGUUGUAAAGCUCUUUCGGCUGAAAAGAAAUCGCACAGGCUAAUACCUUGUGUGGAUGACGGUAUCAGCAUAAGAAGCACCGGCUAACUACGUGCCAGCCGCCGCAGUAA